UUACUACUCCCUUCGUCAGAAAAUACUUGUCAUCAAAAUGGAUAAAAAAAGAUGUAUCUAGAACUAAAAUACAUCUAGAUACAUCUUCUUUUAUUUAUUUUGAUGAAAGUAUUUCCGGACGGAGGGAGUAUUUC
rfam:Triticum aestivum genome assembly, contig: Triticum_aestivum_CS42_TGACv1_scaffold_405906_5BL